rnacentral:tRNA from 1 species
GCGGCAAGUUUGGAAUUGAUGUCAGAAUGGUCUCCGAAGCCGAGGGUCGCAGGUUCGAAUCCUGCCGGGCGCGCCA